UACGAAGGGGGCUAGCGUUGCUCGGAAUCACUGGGCGUAAAGCGCACGUAGGCGGCUUUCUAAGCCAGGGGUGAAAUCCUGGAGCUCAACUCCAGAACUGCCUUUGAUACUGGAGAGCUUGAGUCCGGAAGAGGUGAGUGGAACUCCGAGUGUAGAGGUGAAAUUCGUAGAUAUUCGGAAGAACACCAGUGGCGAAGGCGGCUCGCUGGUCCGGUACUGACGCUGAGGUGCGAAAGCGUGGGGAGCAAACAGG
rnacentral:rRNA from 1 species